rnacentral:lncRNA from 1 species
UAGUUUGAGAGAAUAGGAUGUCAAUGGGUAAUGGGUAUGGGUAUAUGAAAUUUUAUUCGAAUUUGAAUCCGAUCAGGGCAAAUUUAUACAAUACUAAAUGAAUAUAAUUUCAUAUAUGGAUAUCAAAAAUAAAAAUUCAAUGGAUUUGAAUUUGAAUAUGAAUCGAUUUUGACUGCACAUGAUCCAAACCCGAACCCAAACCCGACGUGAAUACGAAUUGAUUUUACACAAUAUAAUAUGUAUGUAAAUAUUUGAUGUUAUAUUUGAAUUUAUAUUUUAAAAAUUUAUAUUUAUGUAAUGUAUUUCGAGAUAUUAAAAAAAUAAGGGUGAAUUUAAUACAGGUCCUGCAAAUAUAGUGAAUGGCAAAUAUAUCCUACAAAGUUCAACUUUCAUAUGUUGUCCUUAUAAAAAUUUUAAUAUUUUUAAAUAUGUUCUUCUGGUUUGUUACCGUUAGAGAACUGUUUAUAUAUUUAAUUUUGCCAUCACAAAAAUAUCCCUCCAAAAAUCAUAACCGUAUAAUAUAAGAGGGAUAAAAAUAUCAAAAACUAAUCGGAUAAAAUAUUUAACUUAUAAUUAACUAAUUAAAGCUUUCUAAUGAAUUCUAACGGUAUGGAUAUAUUUGAAAAUAUCAAGGCUUUUGUAGGAACAAUAUAUGAAAGUUGAACUUUGUAGGAAUAUAUUUGCCAUUCACUAUAUUUGCAGGAAUCUGUAUGAAAUUAACCCAAAAAUAAUUGUUUCAUGUUUGAGUUUUCAAGUUCGGAUUCAGAUUUCAGAUAUUUGGUCAGGUUUGGAUUCGAAUAUGAAUUUUUAAAAUUCGUCAUAUUCAGAUUCGGAAUUGAAAUUUAAAUUUAAUAGU